rnacentral:rRNA from 1 species
UACGGGAGGCAGCAGCGGGGAAUAUUGCACAAUGGGCGCAAGCCUGAUGCAGCCAUGCCGCGUGUAUGAAAAGGCCUUCGGGUUGUAAAGUACUUUCAGUCGUGAGGAAGGUGUUAAGGUUAAUAACCUUAGCAAUUGACGUUAGCGACAGAAGAAGCACCGGCUAACUCCGUGCCAGCAGCCGCGGUAAUACGGAGGGUGCGAGCGUUAAUCGGAAUUACUGGGCGUAAAGGGCACGCAGGCGGUUAAUUAAGUUGGAUGUGAAAUCCCCGGGCUUAACCUGGGAAUGGCAUUCAAGACUGGUUAGCUAGAGUCUUGUAGAGGGGGUAGAAUUCCAUGUGUAGCGGUGAAAUGCGUAGAGAUGUGGAGGAAUACCGGUGGCGAAGGCGGCCCCUGGACAAAGACUGACGCUCAUGUGCGAAAGCGUGGGGAGCAAACAGGGAUUAGAUACC